CAACUCCACGUUCAGUGAAGUCGUGCUGGGAGCUUGAAAUCAGCCACCACGGGAGUGUUUAUGCCCCAGAAAUUGGCAAAUGUAAACAUCAGAGCUCCCCGCUUGCCGAGAGCCUGUCAAACAGUUAGCAGCAAACUAGAUUAAAACCAAUAUACGGAUAAUACGUAAUAUGUCAGAUAGCAACAACUACAAUGAAGGAAAAUAAAGUCGGUCGAGGGAGGCACCUCCUACUGUGAUGGAGUAAAGCUGGGAAGCCAGGAGACUAGGGAGGAGACCGCUGUCACAGUCCAAGCAGAGGAGGAAACUGAGGCACCGAGAGGGAAAGUCACUCUUCAGUGGUCACUCAAGAUUCUGACUCCCCGGUUGAGGUUCUUAAGCCACAUCCCUCCUCCAAAUCUGUAUUUCCACCAAGAAAAAUGACGUGUGAUGAAGGAGCUAAAGCAGCCAUUUUGGACUUCACUGGAAGCUGUGGAAUGAAGAUACUAGAGCAACUAGACCGAAGGAACCAGGGUUUCUAGAAUGAACUUGCAGAACUAAACCAGCUCACCAAACUUGGACCUUCCACCUCUGUGCUGGAAUUUAAAUUUUGUCCCAUUGGGCCACUGUGGCUGUGUGUUAUAGCAGCUCAGAUGUAGCCUGAUUUAUACAGAGGGGUAAACACAUGUUGUUGGGGAAGCCUCAGAGGUGUUAACCCAGGCUGACAGGGGUAGGUGUGGAGGGCUUACUGGAGGAGACAACUUUUAGAUGGAGGCUUGACAAUGAGAAGACAGAUUUUCCUAGACAAAGUUUCCAGGGAGAUGCAUAGCAUACGGGUAAAUCUGGAGGCAAGAGAGAACAUGGAGCUUUCAGGACACCUAAAGGAGCUGAGGGUGGCUGGAUCACAGGGAACGAUGGGGACAGGUGAAAAUGGGGCUGUAUGGGUGGCAGGAUUUACUUGAAGGGCCUAGAAAAGCCAUGUGAAGCCCUUUGAAUUUUUCCCUGAGGGUAAAGGGGAGCCACUGGAGGCUUGAGGCAGGAGGGUGAGGUGAUUAGAUUUGCUUCUUAGAAAGAUCUCUAUGGCUACGGGGUGGGAAAUGGAUUUAUUCAUUUAUUUUUUUAAAAACACAGGCUGUGCUACGUGCCAGGCACUGAGGAUUAUCAGUGAACAAAACAGAUUUGGUUCCUAUCCUUAUGGAAUUUGCAACCUGGUGGGGUGAGACAUGAGUCAAAUAACGAUGUAAAUAAACACGAAGCAUGAUAAGGCCAAUGCAGGGAGGUAUGCAUGGCUGUGAGGAGAUAUAAAGUGGGGGUUGACUUGGGGGAGUCAGAAGAGUUUCCCAGGGAAAGGUGAUGGAGGAACAGCGGUGGGAAAGGUGAUGGAGGAACAGCGGUGGGAAAGGUUCCAGGCCAAGGGAACAGCACAGGCAUAUGAGCCCAGACGGCCGCAGGGAGAACAAGGAGGGUCAAACUAAGGUGCUGGUAAAGAUGGAGAAAUACAGGCAUAGAUGGUGAGGAGAAGCAGGGAAUCCCCAUGGCCAGCCAGCUUCUGGCUUGAGCAAGGUGGGCAACAGCAGAGAAGGAAUGAGGAUGGAGAGGGAAUUGGAAGUGAAGACCCUGAGUUCAAAUACGCUAUGUUGGAUGUGAGGUUCCUAUGAGCCUUCCAAGUGGAGAUGGUGAGUGGGUGGUUGGAUAUAGGGGUCUGGCUGCAGAGCGGCUCCCCGGCCAAUUGUAGCUGUGGUCAUCCCAUGCAUGGGCUCCCAGGCCAGAGCUUGCCAAAUGCUGGCUUCGCGGGCACAUAUUGUAUCUCAGGAACUACGCUCAUGGUAGACAUGGUACUUUCCCACUCACGUCUUCUCAGCUAGCAGGGUCCAGUUUUGUUGGAUGUACGUCUACCCAGGUACUCAGGGACAGUUGCCCUCCUCACCUCAGAGUGAGUUAUCAUAGUUCUAAACCAAUGAUGGUCAUUCUCACUUCCCUUUUCAGUGACUGGUUUGAAAUCGGGCAUGUGAUGCAAUCUUGGUCAAUGGGAAGUCUUCAGGGGGCUUCUGGGAACAUCUGUCUCCCUCAUAAAAGGGGACACAUGGAAGAAGAUGCCUUUCCUCUUCUUUACUUGAUGUUAUCAUGUCUGUGUGUGAUGCCUGGGGCUGCAGCAGCCAUCUUGAAACCAUGAGAAAAAUCAUCAGUAAAUUGCUGAGAAUGGCAGAGCAGGAAGAUGGAAAGGAUGUGAGUUUUUAUUUACAUCUUCAUGCCUUCAAAUUAAACAACCAUUAUUAGAUGAAAUUAUGAACUCCCCUGCCAUUGUUUUGCCAUGUUCAUUUACCUUCUAGUCCUUGUGGCUGAACACACUCUAAGAAAGUGCUACAUAUGUGUUGUUUUAUUUAAUCUUCUCAAUUUUCCUCUGAGGUUGGCGUUACUAUUGUAGCCAUUGUAUAAGUGAAGAAACAGGUUCAGGGCAGGUAAGUGACUUUCCCAAGGUCCCAAAGAUAGUAAGUUAUAGAGCUGGGAUUUGAGUCAAGCCUGGUGUGAUUCGAGAGUGCAACUGGGCUAAAGCCACAGUCUCCAUUUAAAAGUCUUUCUCUUAACACAUUUUUAGUAGGAAACCAUAGCCCUGUUCUUAUUUUUCCCUGGAAAACUGUUAUUACGGUUGGUGGGAAAUUUAGAGUGGGCUGCGUUUCUUUGCACACAGUUAAUGUCUUUGAUUAUAUGUUUCUGGCUUCUUCAUUCAGAGAAAGGCUUCCAUUGGUUGUACAAUAUAAUCAAAUCAUUUCUUAUGUAAACAGCCAUCUGGCACAGAGUCAGCGACAGUUCCAUCAGCGGGAAGGUGAAAAUGAAACUGUGUUCCCAGCUCCGGAAAGCAAUCUGCUGUUCAGCAGGAAAAGAUCAAGGGUUAAUGACACGGAGUUGGGCAAAGGCUGCCGCUGUGGCUCUGAGCAUUAUCAGGAGGCGGGAACAAAGAAUGGUUGUUAAAUGGGUUUGUUAGAAAAGUUAUUUCCCAAUGUAAUUCAUGAAACGCUUGUCAGAACAUUAAGCACAUCCUUCGAAAGCACAAGAGAACUUAAAAAAAAAAAGAAGAAGAAUACAGACAGAAAGAAAAGAGGCUUCUGAAGUCAAUUAUGGAACUCUUAGAAAGGGUUAAUAUCCUUAAUAUACAGAGUUCCUGCAAAACAAUAGGAAAAGGAAAACACCUUAUUAUAAAAUUGACUAUUCACAAGUGAAGAAUUACAAAAGGCAGGUAUAUGUGUAAAGCAAGAUCCACCCUGCCAGUAAUCAAGGAAAUGCAAAUAAAAGCUACAAUGAUUUAUCAUUUUCCACCUAUCGGAUUGGCAUAGAAUGGCAAUGCAUACCACAAUGUUCAAUGGGUAGGGAUUUUAAAGCAUUGCAGAAAUCUAACUUUGGGGCACUUAUCCUAAGGAUGUAAUAAGCCAAGCAUUCUCUAGGGACAAGGGUGUUCACUGCAGCAUUGUUUAUCAUAGUGAAAAAUGGGGGAAAAACCCAGAAAUGCCCAACUACAAAGGAUUCAUUAAGUAAACAAUAAAAUACUGUAUUAAAAUUAAAUUGUAUUAAAUAAAUAUUGGAAAUUGUAUUAAAUACUAAUUUAAAAUGGCAAUAUAGAGAGAUGCCACGACAUAUUGUAGAGAAAAAAUUUUUCACACGCAUGAUCUAACUUGUCCUAAGUUGUAUGUGCACCUGCAGGAAUAUUAAAGAGUGUGUAUGCUAAAGGAUGUUUACCAAAAUGGCGGCAGUGUUUAUUUCUAGAUGGUAAAAUUUUCAGUAGUAAUUUUUCCUUUCAUUUAAGUCAGUUUCUCAACCUGGGCACUACUGACAUUUGGGGCCAGAUAAUUUUUUGUUUCCGGGGACUGUCCUGGGCAUUGCAGGAUGUUUAGCACCAUCCCUGGCUUCUACCCACCAGAUGCCAGUAGCACCCAUGACCCCCCGAGUCAUAACAACCAAAAAUGUAUCCAGACAUUGUCACAUGUCUCCUGGGGGACAAAACCGCAGUCGUUUGAGAAGCACUGUUUUAAAUACUUUUCUGCA